UGGCGGGUCCUGCGCAAUGAAAGCCUGUGAACCGUGUCAGGACCGGGAGGGAGCAGCACUAAGCAGUUACUUGCAUGUGCCGCAGGGGUGCCUGCAUUUG
rfam:Phascolarctobacterium sp. CAG:266 genomic scaffold, scf174